UCGAGCGAGCUUGCCUAGAUGAUUUUAGUGCUUGCACUAAAUGAAACUAGAUUCAAGCGAGCGGCGGACGGGUGAGUAACACGUGGGUAACCUGCCCAAGAGACUGGGAUAACACCUGGAAACAGAUGCUAAUACCGGAUAACAACACUAGACGCAUGUCUAGAGUUUGAAAGAUGGUUCUGCUAUCACUCUUGGAUGGACCUGCGGUGCAUUAGCUAGUUGGUAAGGUAACGGCUUACCAAGGCAAUGAUGCAUAGCCGAGUUGAGAGACUGAUCGGCCACAUUGGGACUGAGACACGGCCCAAACUCCUACGGGAGGCAGCAGUAGGGAAUCUUCCACAAUGGACGAAAGUCUGAUGGAGCAACGCCGCGUGAGUGAAGAAGGGUUUCGGCUCGUAAAGCUCUGUUGGUAGUGAAGAAAGAUAGAGGUAGUAACUGGCCUUUAUUUGACGGUAAUUACUUAGAAAGUCACGGCUAACUACGUGCCAGCAGCCGCGGUAAUACGUAGGUGGCAAGCGUUGUCCGGAUUUAUUGGGCGUAAAGCGAGUGCAGGCGGUUCAAUAAGUCUGAUGUGAAAGCCUUCGGCUCAACCGGAGAAUUGCAUCAGAAACUGUUGAACUUGAGUGCAGAAGAGGAGAGUGGAACUCCAUGUGUAGCGGUGGAAUGCGU
rnacentral:rRNA from 1 species